UAUAUCAAAGAAGGAAAUUGCGUGCGAGGCGUUGAAUAAAACACUUGCCAAAUUGCAUUUUAAUGAAAUACGGAUAGGGCAAGUGAACUUCAAUCGAUUCAAAUAGAUUAAGGUGGUGCUAGUCAUGAUAAAGCCACAUCGGUUGACUCAUCGUGGGUGCUUCUAAAUGUAUUUCCAAAAACUGGUCAAUCUUAUCGGGUUCAGAGGUACUCAACCUGCCUGUAUGAAUAAAAUUUCAACACAUUUCCCAUCAAUGUCGACAGAAAGUGCGACCCUUAUCAAAUAUUUUACGGCGAUCAGAUAGACCGAUGGAUUUUUUAUCAUUUUAGCCAAACAAAAAAUCUCACGUAAUGUUGUAUGGCCAAACACUCAAUACUUGGUAACUCAAAGGUGCUGAUUAUUUACCCGCCACUGUAUGUUUCACUAGCCAUUGACAUUGAGCAAACUUCGGCAAAUGGCACGUGAGCGGGAAAGAGAUGGCGAAAGAGCGAGAGAGCCGGCAAGAUAAAGAAGCCGAUAUGUUGAAGACGAUCGUAUGCAAUCCUAUUUAAACGGUCGUAACAUUUGUUUUGACCACUAUCAGAAUGAGCGACCACUAUCAGCAUGGCUCCUGCUGGAAAUUCCACCAGUCAUGCUUCGCUUCCAGUUUCCAAACCUCAAUGUGCAGCAUGACUGAGCUGUUUGCAUGUACAUAUAUAAGUAUCCCGGUGCCCCAAUAUUUAUCAACCCCGACUUUCACUUACGGAUCUCGAAUUUCUGCUUGGGAUAUAACUUCUGCAGGCGGCCGAUGACAUGUUUGGUCUGAAUCAGUGCGAGCUGCAAAGAGGGGGGAGAGUGUUUAAUUGUUUAAUAAAGUGCCUAUUAAAUGCUAAA